rnacentral:rRNA from 1 species
GAUGAACGCUGGCGGCGUGCCUAAUACAUGCCAGUCGAGCGAACGGACGAGAAGCUUGCUUCUCUGAUGUUAGCGGCGGACGGGUGAGUAACACGUGGAUAACCUACCUAUAAGACUGGGAUAACUUCGGGAAACCGUAGCUAAUACCGGAUAAUAUUUUGAACCGCAUGGUUCAAAAGUGAAAGACGGUCUUGCUGUCACUUAUAGAUGGAUCCGCGCUGCAUUAGCUAGUUGGUAAGGUAACGGCUUACCAAGGCAACGAUGCAUAGCCGACCUGAGAGGGUGAUCGGCCACACUGGAACUGAGACACGGUCCAGACUCCUACGGGAGGCAGCAGUAGGGAAUCUUCCGCAAUAGGCGAAAGCCUGACGGAGCAACGCCGCGUGAGUGAUGAAGGUCUUCGGAUCGUAAAACUCUGUUAUUAGGGAAGAACAUAUGUGUAAGUAACUGUGCACAUCUUGACGGUACCUAAUCAGAAAGCCACGGCUAACUACGUG